AUGGCUGAAGCAAGUGUGGAGCCAGCACCAACCAAUGUGCCAGAAGCCAAUGAUGCAACUUCUCCUGAAGUAUCUGUGGUGCAGCCUGACACCUCUGUUGUUGCCACUGCUCAUGUUCCGCCACCAAGGCCCCAUACAAUUGAGCAAGCAUACAACUAUGGUCAGCUAAUCACUGUCAAAUGGCCCGUUCUGGUCCCUCCGCCUAAUGCCUCUGGUCCUCAGUUUGAUUAUCAUGUUGAGCAUAGGCCUCUAGUCCAGAAACCAAAGCCAAGACUGCCAAGGUUCCCAGGUACUGCCACCUCUACAGGGUCCUUCAAUGCAAAUGGCUUCAAAAGCCACAACACCUUCUUUGCAUAG
rnacentral:rRNA from 1 species